rnacentral:rRNA from 1 species
AUACGUAGGGGGCAAGCGUUGUCCGGAAUGAUUGGGCGUAAAGGGCGCGUAGGCGGCCCGGUAAGUCUGAAGUGAAAGUCCUGGUUUUAAGUUGGGAAUUGCUUUGGAUACUGUCGGGCUUGAGUGCAGGAGAGGUAAGUGGAAUUCCCAGUGUAGCGGGGAAAUGCGUAGAGAUUGGGAGGAACACCAGUGGCGAAGGCGACUUACUGGACUGUAACUGACGCUGAGGCGCGAAAGUGUGGGGAGCAAACAGGAUUAGAUACCCUGGUAGUCCACACUGUAAACGAUGAAUGCUAGGUGUAGGGGGUAUCGACCCCUUCUGUGCCGCAGUCAACACAAUAAGCAUUCCGCCUGGGGAGUACGGCCGCAAGGUUGAAACUCAAAUGAAUUGACGGGG